rnacentral:rRNA from 1 species
CAGUAGCCGCGGUAAUCCGAAGGGGGCUAGCGUUGCUCGGAAUGACUGGGCGUAAAGGGCGCGUAGGCGGAUUGCGCAGUCAGAUGUGAAAUUCCUGGGCUUAACCUGGGGGCUGCAUUUGAGACGGGUAUUCUAGAGUGGAGAAGAGGGUCGUGGAAUUCCCAGUGUAGAGGUGAAAUUCGUAGAUAUUGGGAAGAACACCGGUGGCGAAGGCGGCGACCUGGUCUUUUACUGACGCUGAGGCGCGAAAGCGUGGGGAGCAAACAGGAUUAGAUACCCCAGUAGUCCCUGUCUCUUAUAC